UACGAAGGGGGCUAGCGUUGCUCGGAAUCACUGGGCGUAAAGGGCGCGUAGGCGGCCUGCUAAGUCGAACGUGAAAUCCCUGGGCUCAACCCAGGAACUGCGUCCGAUACUGGUUGGCUUGAAUCCGGGAGAGGGAUGUGGAAUUCAGGUGUAGCGGUGAAAUGACGUAGAUAUACUGGGAGGAACACCGGUGGCGAAGGCGGGUCUCUGGACAGUUCCUGACGCUGAGGCAG
rnacentral:rRNA from 1 species